AAAGAGUGCGUGUAACUUUAUUUCAUUUAAACAUUAUCUUUAUUAUUAUUAACUUAUGUUUAUGUUUUGUUAAGCAAUUGCAUCAAGUAUAUUUGUGAGA